rnacentral:rRNA from 2 species
AGGUCCCGGCUGCCCCGUGAUUUAAUUUGUCGGCCGCGGUAUCUUGACCGUGCAAAGGUAGCAUAAUCAAUUGUUCUUUAAAUAAGGACUAGUAUGAAUGGCAUUACGAGGGUUUAACUGUCUCCCUAUUUUAAUCAAUGAAAUUGAUCUUCCCGUGAAGAAGCGGGAAUAUAACUAUAAGACGAAAAGACCCCAUGGAGCUUUAAACUUAUUUUCAAUUACCAAAAUCCAAAACAUAUACCUGGUAAAAAUGAUAAUCGUUUUCGGUUGGGGCGACCCUGGAGAAAAAUAAAUCCUCCAAGCUGAAUAGAUUAAAAAUCUAAUGUUAGAGUAACAACUCAAACAAUCAAAAUCUUGACAAAAUGACCCAGAAUUUAUCUGAUCAACGAACCAAGUUACCCUGGGGAUAACAGCGCAAUCCAUUUCAAGAGCCCCUAUCGACAAAUGGGUUUACGACCUCGAUGUUGGAUCGGGAUAUCCUAGCAGCGCAGCCGUUGCUUAAGGUUCGUUUGUUCAACGAUUAAUAUCCCACGUGAUCUGAGU